GCACCACAAGGGGUGAAGCCUGCGGUUCAAUUGGACUCAACGCCGGGAAACUUACCAGGGGAGACAGCAGUAUGACGGUCAGGUUGACGACCUUACCCGACGAGCUGAGAGGAGGUGCAUGGCCGUCGCCAGUUCGUGCCGUGAGGUAUCCUGUUAAGUCAGGCAACGAACGAGAUCCGCACCUUUAUUUGCCAACAAGAAGUCACGACUUCGUUGGGAACACUAAAGGGACCGCCGUCGAUAAGACGGAGGAAGGAGCGGGCAAAGGCAGGUCAGUAUGCCCCGAAACCCCUGGGCUACACGCGGGCUGCAAUGGUAUGAACAAUGGGCUGUGACUCCGAAAGGAGAAACCAAUCCCGAAAUCAUAUCUCAGUUGGAAUUGUCGGCUGUAACCCGCCGACAUGAACGUGGAAUCCCUAGUAAUCGUGUGUCAUCAUCGCACGGUGAAUACGUCUCUGCUCCUUGCACACACCGCCCGUCGCUCCAUCCGAGUGUGCUAAAAAUGAGGUUUGGUCAGUUUGGUCAUAUCGAGUUUCUAGUAUGCGAGGAGGGAG
rnacentral:rRNA from 1 species